rnacentral:rRNA from 1 species
UGGGGAAUAUUGCACAAUGGGCGCAAGCCUGAUGCAGCGACGCCGCGUGAGGGAUGACGGCCUUCGGGUUGUAAACCUCUUUCAGUAGGGAAGAAGCGAAAGUGACGGUACCUGCAGAAGAAGCACCGGCUAACUACGUGCCAGCAGCCGCGGUAAUACGUAGGGUGCGAGCGUUAUCCGGAAUUAUUGGGCGUAAAGAGCUCGUAGGCGGUUUGUCGCGUCUGUCGUGAAAGUCCGGGGCUUAACCCCGGAUCUGCGGUGGGUACGGGCAGACUAGAGUGCAGUAGGGGAGACUGGAAGUCCUGGUGUAGCGGUGGAAUGCGCAGAUAUCAGGAGGAACACCGAUGGCGAAGGCAGGUCUCUGGGCUGUAACUGACGCUGAGGAGCGAAAGCAUGGGGAGCGAACA